rnacentral:rRNA from 1 species
GAUGAACGCUGGCGGCGUGCUUAACACAUGCAAGUCGAACGGAAAGGCCCUGCUUGUGUGGGGUGCUGGAGUGGCGAACGGGUGAGUAACACGAGAGUAACCGGCCCUAGACUUUGGGGUAACUUCAGGAAACUGGGGCUAAUAUAGGAUAGGAGAUCAUGCAGGAGGGAGGGCGGUGGAACGUUUCGGCGGUUGUGGAUGGACGCGCGGCUGAUCAGCUUGUUGGUGGGGGAGGGGCUUACCAAGGAAGGGACGGGUAGGCGGCCGGAGAGGGUGGCCGGCCACCUUGGUACUGCGGUACGGCCCAGUCUCCUACAGUGGGCAACAGUGGGGAACCUUGCACAAUGGGCCCACGCCUGUUGCAACGACGCCGCGUGCGUGAUGACCUCCUUCUGGUUGUAAACCGCUUUCGCCUGUGACGAAGCGUGAGUGACGGUACUGGGUGAAGAAGCACCGGCUAACUACGUG